UCCAGCUCUCCUGCACAGCCUUCCUCACCCCCUUUCCCUAAACCUCCCCAGCUCCUGCCAGGUUGCAGAUAAAACUCAAUCAGCCCAACACAACCCCCAGACUCUUGGAGAUCUGCCCACAAGGGAGGAACUCAUGUGCCUUUCUGAUUUAACUACCAACACAUUUACUGCUGCUUUGCCGUUGACUUAAUGCUUCUGCUGUUGCAUAGAGGUCGAUCUGUCUUCAGCCAUCUCUCCCCCUGAACAUUUCAAGCUCUCUCCUUUCUCCCCUCAGCUGUCAUCUCCAGCAGCCUGGCUGCCGAAGGAGGUGGGCGGCAGAACACGCACCGCAGGAGGUGCCUGAUCUUCCUUGUGCUCGAGGAUGGGAGAACUCAGCCGUGGCAGCAGCAUCCUCCUCCAUCACUCCUCGCCACGUCAGGGAGAAAACCCCACCAUGGCUUCCCAGCACCUGGCAAUAUGACUUGAACUAAUUCAGCUUUUUACUGUUGAAGAGCUGGAGCUGUAUCCUGGUUUGGCUCCAGGCUGAGAGGGACUCGAUCUGAAGCCUUGUGUGUCGCAGGCUGCUGGAGUCUCUAGAAGUGUGUUCCUGCUUCAGCUGUUCAGUCUAACAACAGUACUGGGCUGUGAUCUGAAGAUGCAGUUUCCAGAGAAGCUCAAAUACCUGUUGGGUGGUUUAAGAAGCUGAACCUGUUACUGCUGACCCAUGUAUGACCGUACCCCAGUGGAGAUAUGGGAGGGAAGAUGAGUGUAGUGGUUCCUCGUGGAAUCGUAGCAUCAUUCUGGCUGGAAGAGACCCUCAAGAUCAUCAAGUCCAACCAUAAACAUACCACCAGUUCCAGCCUUGCUGUUCCUUCUUCGCUUGUUGUGGAGUGACCUGAUACAAAGCAGAAAGACUGAGCUCAGCUGAGCUGGCUUAGCUCUUGAGCAGGGCUGCACCAGGGAAAGCUGUUGCUGGGGUGUCCUUUGCUUUUCCAGCUCCAGCCAGCUCCUGUGCAGAACCUACACCGAGAUAAAAGAGACUGACACAGUGUGAAACCUUCCUCCUCUUCAGCAGAUGGUGUUUGCAACAGUGGACUUUGCUUCUGUUACUAUAACAGAAUGGCCUGGUCUAGCCAAGAAAUUGAAUGAGAAGCUGCAGUCUAGUCUUGCUGAGACUGGCUUAUUAUGUAAACCUGACCUGAAAGCCUGGAUCACAAAGAAACUCUUGUUUUUUCAAGGAUUAGACUUUUCAGCCAUCUUCCAUUUAUGAGUUAAAGUGCUGUCAUGACUUGCCUGCAGUCAGUAGCUGUUGUCACUCUGCAGCAUUCACAGCAAUCUCCUGGGACUCUUAAUGACCGAGGAUGUGAUGUGUGUUGCAAUUUGAACUUCAUGUAACCUUCACAGAAAACCUAAAUGCGUCUUAAGUGGGGCUAACCUGGUGUCCCUGCCUUAGGCUUUAGCAGAUCAGUGCUACUCCUGUCCAAGCUGUGAACUACAUGCUUCAUGCCUAAAAAUCCUCACAGCUGGAGAAACAAUGCCCCUGCUUAAGCAAACCGCUGUGAGUUAUUGGCUGGUAAUGCCACUGGCUAAGCCUGUUCCAGUGUGUCCUGCUAAAAUGGUGGACUGGGAAGGUGAAGCUGAACCUCCAUCAGGCCCAUUACUGUCAGACUGAGACUGCUGAGCACUAACUGCAACGGCUAUUUCAAGAUAAACCUCAGUCUCAAUCAAGGUGAGCAAGAAAAAGCGUGUUGCCCUGAUAUUGUCUGAAGGCUGCUUUCUGCAUUGUGACUGAGGGUGGAACCUGCUUAGCAAAAAAAAGGGUGUCAGCCAGUGUUAGCCCUCCAAGAAACUGGGUCACCAAUAUUUCUGACCUUAUUCUAUCGCAUUCAAGAUGUGAGCAAACCAGAGCAAGUGUUCCCUCAGUCGGAAGGGCUAAGAAACCAUGUGCUGCUUGUGUGUCUCAGCUGGUCACAGGGCCUCCAGAAAGACUUCCCUCAGUUACCUUCUGGCUAUUUCUGACCACCUCCCUCUUCUCCAGUAAUGCUGCUGCUCCCAAAGCAUCGCUGGAGCUCUGCCUGUCUGCAUCAGCUCCCGAGCUGCUCUGCUCCUUCCUCCUCCUACUAACCAAAGACUCUGUACAUCUGUCUUUAACCUGCUGAGCCACAGCAAUCUGAGAGGAAACUGAGGAGUGUGGCAGAGAAACUGUUGUAGGCUCUGUCCCAUAUUUGGUUAAUACCUGGAGGAGAUUUUAACCUUCAUGGGGAAAGGGGUUCUGUACAUCUGCCAGCUCUGUUAUUCAAGCAUACAGCAAUCCCAUGGGCAGAGACACUUCCACUUGAAAUCCGAGAGCCAGCUCAGCCCACGCAAGCCCUGUGUGUAUCCCUCCUCGCCAGCCUGGCUCCGAUAGCACCAGCCUUUCUCACAGCUCUUGGGGACAAACCUCACUUAGUCCUGACAAGCCUCCAAAGCUCUUUCACAGCAAGCCAUGUGUGAACUCAGCGUGUCCGGUAUUGAAACCACCUACUUGACUUUAUCCUGCUUGGUUACAAAAGGGACAACAGGCCUGGACAGGCAUGAUCCUCUGCAUACAGAAGGGAGAUGCUGUGUGAUGUGUUUACAUCCAUCCCAGUAACCUUGGGCCUUGCAGAGCUGAGCACUGGGCUGAGAAACUGAAGUGGAAGGAUCCAGCAGGAUGGGUGGAGGUACCAAGAAAUAUGGGGUAUUUGAGGUGAUAUCAGAUUGGAUAUCGGGAAAAAUUUAUUCCGGUAAAGGGCUGUCGGGCACUGGAACAGGCUGCCCAGGGCAGUGGUGGAGUCACCAUCCCUGGAGGGGUCGAACAGACACGGAGAUGAGGUUCUCAGGGACACGGAUUAGUGCCUGGGGUGGGUUGAUGGUUGGACUUGAUGAUCUUGAGGGUCUCUUCCAAUCAAAAUGAUUCUAUGAUCCUAUCUAGGGAAGAUUUAUAGAUGGUUGAGAGGAACUGUGUCUCCUGCCAGCUCGGCUACACCCUGGCUCUCUACUAGUGGGAAUCAGGAUGUUUUCUAUGUGUGUUUAGCAAUGCAAUGGCUUAAGAAUGAGAGCGGCAGCACUGCUGGAGUCAGGAGGACCGCAGAGGUUUGCUAGGAGCUCAGCCAGUUGUGUAAAACUCUUUACUCCCCAGAUUUUGGCCUGUCAGGAUACACGCAGGCAUCCUCCCAGGCCAAGGAAAGCUUGGCCUGAGCAGAGCUGCUUUUGUGCUGUUGGCUGGCAGGGAGGGAUGGCCACAGCCUGAAUCCAGCCUGGCCUGGGGGUGAACAAGGUUAAUGGUUGGACUUGAUGAUCUUGAGGGUCUCUUCCAGCCAAAAUGAUUCUAUGAUUCUAAGGUAUUUUUCAUCAGGUGCUGCUUGGUAGCCUCGGUGCUGCCUUCUCCAAGGCUUCCCUGUGGGCUUGUUGCCCCAACGUGUCAUCCUGCUUCAAAACCUCGGCACAGAGGAUAAGAAGGAACUGGGUGGAGAAGAUGCUCCAUGCUUUCAAAGGGGCAUCCUAAUCAGCAAGAGGAGUUCAGCCACCUCUAGUCAUGUUCUCUAUAGCAAGAUAACCUGGUGCUAAUGGCAUUACUUCUGUAGGAUAAAUCCUAUAGAUGUUGUGCUCGGGAAGGAAUUUGAUGAACCAGGAAAGAGAACCCAGGAUGCCUGUUAUCAGUCGUCUUUCCAAGCCAUUACACAAUACCACUCUGGAGUUAACAAACUGAAAACAUCUGGGAAUAAUCAAAGCUAUUUAGGCUCUGGGAAAGCAUGGCUGGAGAAAGUUUGAAGGAAGCAACUUGAAAGCUCAGCAUUGUUAAAAACAGUCUGGAAGCCCUGGAAGUUGAAACGAGGGUAACAGCUACAAAGAGUGAGGGAAUAUCAAGAGAAAGAUCUAAUAUCCUCUGAGGAACAGAGAGGAGCCAGAUUGAAUUGUAAUGUUCAAGACUCUACUAAGCUACAGGGCAUUAAAAAUUGCAUUGGAAGAAACAGA